AGUUUCACCUGGAAAGGAUGCCAAGUUAAUUGAUCUGUAAUUCCCCUCUUGGAAAAGAAGCGUGAUGUUUUCCCUCUGCCAGUCACCAGGGCUUCCUCAGUUCUCCAGGAGCGCUUGAAUAUAAUGGAUAAUGGGCCUAAGAGUUUUUCAGCUAAUUCCUUUAAUACCCUUGGGUGAGAUCUAAGCACGACCUUAUGAAUCAAACCCACUCCAAAUGAUCUGAUCAUGUCUCUACUCUCCUUUGAGGCCGCUGACUUUGCAGUGUAUGGCCUUGAGAUGCCAAGGAAUUAACAGCAACCUUCCAGCCAUAUCUAAGACAGGCAGAUUAGGGUGAUGCCCACUGAGGAUGGCAAGGAAUUUCGCAAUGCCAGCUGGCUGCCAGAAGUUACACAAAGAUUUUCCUCCUAUAUAACUUCCCAGCUUUCCUUUACAUGGCUGCUUCUGAGGGUCCUUUGGGGAUGUUUUUCCCUGAGUGAUGGUAGCCCAUAUUGUUCCACUUUCAUGAUGUUAUUUCCUGGCUACAUUGCUAAUCUCUGUAGGUGCCACAGGGUAAAUUCUCUGUUCAAUUGCACUAGAUCUCCUCCCAUUUCAGCAUCAACACCAUCUUACUUUACUGUGAAUUUUCCCUGCUUACUUGCAUGUGACUUACUUUCAUUUUUCUCCAAACUUUUCUUUCUAUUAUCCACUAUUCUUUCCAGAAUAUUUUCCACUUUCAAUGGCUUUUAUAGGAUUUUCUUUUCCUUUUUUAAAAACAAAUGGUUUUUUUUUCCUCUUUCUACACAGACAUAUUAAACAUGACAGGUUUAUUCCUGUCUACCUCUAAUACAUAGUGUCCCUGAAAUAGGUAGACAGCAAUGGGUCUACACACAUGCUGAAAGAUGGAAUAAAAGGAGAUCGUGAAGAUUUCAGGAUACCAUACUCCCCUGCAGGAGGAGGGAUUAAGAGGGUUACAGAACAGAUUUACAAG